rnacentral:rRNA from 1 species
UCCUACGGGAGGCAGCAGUGGGGAAUUUUGGACAAUGGGCGCAAGCCUGAUCCAGCCAUGCCGCGUGAGUGAAGAAGGCCUUCGGGUUGUAAAGCUCUUUCGGCCGGGAAGAAAUCGUGUUCUCUAACAUAGGACAUGGAUGACGGUACCGGACUAAGAAGCACCGGCUAACUACGUGCCAGCAGCCGCGGUAAUACGUAGGGUGCGAGCGUUAAUCGGAAUUACUGGGCGUAAAGCGUGCGCAGGCGGUUUUGUAAGACAGAUGUGAAAUCCCCGGGCUUAACCUGGGAACUGCGUUUGUGACUGCAAGGCUAGAGUACGGCAGAGGGGGGUGGAAUUCCUGGUGUAGCAGUGAAAUGCGUAGAUAUCAGGAGGAACACCGAUGGCGAAGGCAGCCCCCUGGGCCUGUACUGACGCUCAUGCACGAAAGCGUGGGGAGCAAACAGGAUUAGAUACCCUGGUAGUCCACGCCCUAAACGAUGUCGACUAGUCGUUCGGAGCAGCAAUGCACUGAGUGACGCAGCUAACGCGUGAAGUCGACCGCCAGGGGAGACCCCCAACCCGC